GGACGGCUCAUGUACUCUGGAGUUUAUUCAAAGGUGCUUCUUGGGUAUUAACCCUGAGGUGGGCUCCAAAUCGAAGAAAAAACAGCUGGGAGGCAUCAACCCACAUGUGAGCACACUCAUGAGAAAACUUGUGGACUUUGAAUGGAUGUCGAUGU